rnacentral:rRNA from 1 species
GUACAACUUUGAGCGGUGGAUCACUCGGCUCGUGCGUCGAUGAAGAGCGCAGCCAGCUACGUGAAUUAAUGUGAAUUGCAGAACACA